CCAGGUGGAAACCCGCCAAUCAGGCCAUGAGAUGACCAUUUCCCUGCCCUGUGGGAAAGUCUGAGGACGCUGGGGCCAGAUGUGUUGAUUCGGUUCUCUCCCUGG
rnacentral:RNase_P_RNA from 2 species